UACAGAGGUCUCAAGCGUUGUUCGGAUUCAUUGGGCGUAAAGGGUGCGUAGGCGGCGCGGUAAGUCGGGUGUGAAAUCUUGGAGCUUAACUCCGAAACUGCAUUCGAUACUGCCGUGCUUGAGGACUGGAGAGGAGACUGGAAUUUACGGUGUAGCGGUGAAAUGCGUAGAUAUCGGGAGGAACACCUGUGGCGAAAGCGGCGCACUGGACCACUUCUGACGCUGAGGCGCGAAAGCUAGGGGAGCAAACAGG
rnacentral:rRNA from 1 species